rnacentral:misc_RNA from 1 species
UCUCCGUAGGUGAACCUGCGGAGGGAUCAUUACAGAGUACGUGCCCACGCGGGUAGAUCUCCCCCCCUGUGUUAUUGCUACCUUUGUUGCUUUGGCGGGCCGCCCGCGGCUACCGGCCCCGGCUGGUACGCGCCCGCCAGAGGACCCCAAACCCUGAACGUCCGUGUCGUCUGAGUACUAUACAAUAGUUAAAACUUUCAACAACGGAUCUCUUGGUUCUG